rnacentral:rRNA from 1 species
CCAGAUGUGGAAGCCCGGUAACGGGUGGAGCUGACUGGUACUAAUAGGCCGAGGGCUUGUCCUC